rnacentral:tRNA from 1 species
UGGGCUGUGGCUCAAUGGUAGAGCACUUGCCUAGCAUGUGUGAGGCACUAGGUUCAAUUCUCAGCACCACAU